rnacentral:rRNA from 2 species
UUAGCGGCGGACGGGUGAGUAACACGUGGGUAACCUGCCUGUAAGACUGGGAUAACUCCGGGAAACCGGGGCUAAUACCGGAUGGUUGUUUGAACCGCAUGGUUCAAACAUAAAAGGUGGCUUCGGCUACCACUUACAGAUGGACCCGCGGCGCAUUAGCUAGUUGGUGAGGUAACGGCUCACCAAGGCAACGAUGCGUAGCCGACCUGAGAGGGUGAUCGGCCACACUGGGACUGAGACACGGCCCAGACUCCUACGGGAGGCAGCAGUAGGGAAUCUUCCGCAAUGGACGAAAGUCUGACGGAGCAACGCCGCGUGAGUGAUGAAGGUUUUCGGAUCGUAAAGCUCUGUUGUUAGGGAAGAACAAGUACCGUUCGAAUAGGGCGGUACCUUGACGGUACCUAACCAGAAAGCCACGGCUAACUACGUGCCAGCAGCCGCGGUAAUACGUAGGUGGCAAGCGUUGUCCGGAAUUAUUGGGCGUAAAGGGCUCGCAGGCGGUUUCUUAAGUCUGAUGUGAAAGCCCCCGGCUCAACCGGGGAGGGUCAUUGGAAACUGGGGAACUUGAGUGCAGAAGAGGAGAGUGGAAUUCCACGUGUAGCGGUGAAAUGCGUAGAGAUGUGGAGGAACACCAGUGGCGAAGGCGACUCUCUGGUCUGUAACUGACGCUGAGGAGCGAAAGCGUGGGGAGCGAACAGGAUUAGAUACCCUGGUAGUCCACGCCGUAAACGAUGAGUGCUAAGUGUUAGGGGGGUUUCCGCCCCUUAGUGCUGCAGCUA